rnacentral:rRNA from 1 species
AGCAGCCGCGGUAAUUCCAGCUCCAAUAGCGUAUAUUAAAGUUGUUGCAGUUAAAAAGCUCGUAGUUGAAUUUCGGGGUUCUACCGUUGGUCGGGCUAUUGUCUGUACUGGCGUGUGGAAUUUCUACCUUCUGGGGAACUAUCAUGUUAUUAAUUUAGCGUGGUAGGAAACCAGGACCUUUACCUUGAAAAAAUUAGAGUGUUCAAAGCAGGCUUAUGUCUGAAUACAUUAGCAUGGAAUAAUAAAAUAGGACGGUGGUCCUGUUUUGUUGGUUUCUGAAUCACCGUAAUGAUUAAUAGGGAUAGUUGGGGGCAUUAGUAUUCAAUUGUCAGAGGUGAAAUUCUUGGAUUUAUUGAAGACUAACUACUGCGAAAGCAUUUGCCAGGGAUGUUUUCAUUAAUCAAGAACGAAAGUUAGGGGAUCGAAGACGAUCAGAUACCGUCGUAGUCUUAACCAUAAACUAUGCCGACUAGGGAUCGGAUGAUGUUAAUUUUUAAUGACUCAUUCGGCGCCUUACGGG